GGGGGUGUACCGGUUUUCGACGGGAGGUGUGAAGUUCAGGCAGCAUGCCGAGGAUCAUCGGUUGGCCUCGUUAAUCAUCCGAUGACAUCUAUAACUGCCGAAGAUUACUCUUACGCAGUUGCUGCCUAACUAAAGGCGGCGAAUCCGUCGGGCGUUGCGCCCGUCGUUCGGCGGAUCAAGUCAGGGCGCUGGUUCGGCAGGAUGUGUCGACUGCCGGGCGAGACAAAUCGGCACUGGUCGUCUACCGAGCCUGUCUUCCGGCGCGGCGGACGGCGAGAUUAAAGGGAAGACUAAGCAUGUAGCGGCCUGGGUAGAGCGCUUGCCGGACAGGGGUUCGACUCCCCUCACCUCCAGAC
rnacentral:tmRNA from 1 species